rnacentral:rRNA from 1 species
UAGCGCGGUGGUCCCACCUGACCCCAUGCCGAACUCAGAAGUGAAACGCCGUAGCGCCGAUGGUAGUGUGGGGUUUCCCCAUGCGAGAGUAGGG